GAUCUAAUAAAAAGUUCACAUCAUUGAAGUUCAUAUGAACAUCAAUUCACUAUAACUACCUUUCUGGGCGGGUCGCUUCCCUCUCGUGUAAACCGCAGCCACCGCCCAGCGCCGCCGCCUUCCUCUUCUCUCCUGAGCACUUGCCACCGACCUCCGUGCCCUCGCCUCUCGCCUCCGGCCUCAGUGCGAACAUAAAUUCACUGUAACUACCUUUCUCGGCGGGUUGGUGGAUGGAGCAGAUGGCUUCGGUGGAAUGAAUUUGACAAAUGAAUCAACCUUCCUCUACAAAUAAGGAAGUUUCGUUCAUUCAUUUGAAAAACAGCAGCAGCAGUGUAUGUAGCAUCUUGAUCCAUGGAAGAAGGUGGGGGAGCAGGAAGGGACCUUGUGCGUGGGGUAGUCGUGGCCGUGGUCGGGCUAGACGGCGUCUCCGAAGAGCUCGUCCAUGGAAGGUAGGAAGGAGC
rnacentral:lncRNA from 1 species